rnacentral:rRNA from 1 species
CCUACGGGUGGCAGCAGUGAGGAAUAUUGGUCAAUGGACGAGAGUCUGAACCAGCCAAGUAGCGUGAAGGAUGACUUCCCUAUGGGUUGUAAACUUCUUUUAUAUGGGAAUAAAAUGUUCCACGUGUGGGAUUUUGUAUGUACCAUAUGAAUAAGGAUCGGCUAACUCCGUGCCAGCAGCCGCGGUAAUACGGAGGAUCCGAGCGUUAUCCGGAUUUAUUGGGUUUAAAGGGAGCGUAGGUGGAUUGUUAAGUCAGUUGUGAAAGUUUGCGGCUCAACCAUAAAAUUGCAGUUGAAACUGGCAGUCUUGAGUACAGUAGAGGUGGGCGGAAUUCGUGGUGUAGCGGUGAAAUGCUUAGAUAUCACGAAGAACUCCGAUUGCGAAGGCAGUUCACUGGACUGCAACUGACACUGAGGCUCGAAAGUGUGGGUAUCAAACAGGAUUAGAUACCCUGGUAGUC